GCCGAGGUGGUGGAAUUGGUAGACACGCUAUCUUGAGGGGGUAGUGGGAGAAAUCCCGUGAGGGUUCGAGUCCCUCCCUCGGCACCA
rnacentral:tRNA from 5 species